GAUGAACGCUAGCGGCAGGCCUAAUACAUGCAAGUCGAACGGAUAUAUGUUUUUCGGAAUAUAUAUUAGUGGCGCACGGGUGAGUAACACGUACAUAACUUGCCCUCAAGCGGGGGAUAGCCUUGGGAAACUGAGAGUAAUACCCCAUAGAAUUAUUGGACGGCAUCGUUUGAUAAUUAAAACUACGGUGCUUGGGGAUAGAUGUGCGUCUGAUUAGCUAGUUGGUGAGGUAACUGCUCACCAAGGCGACGAUCAGUAGGGGGCGUGAGAGCGUGGCCCCCCACACGGGUACUGAGACACGGACCCGACUCCUACGGGAGGCAGCAGUAAGGAAUAUUGGUCAAUGGGGGCAACUCUGAACCAGCCAUGCCGCGUGUAGGAAGAAUGCCCUAUGGGUUGUAAACUACUUUUAUUGGGGAAGAAACCCUUCUACGUGUAGAAGGCUGACGGUACCCAAGGAAUAAGGACCGGCUAACUCCGUG
rnacentral:rRNA from 1 species